rnacentral:rRNA from 1 species
ACUCCUACGGGAGGCAGCAGUAGGGAAUCUUCGGCAAUGGGGGCAACCCUGACCGAGCAACGCCGCGUGAGUGAAGAAGGUUUUCGGAUCGUAAAGCUCUGUUGUAAGUCAAGAACGAGUGUGAGAGUGGAAAGUUCACACUGUGACGGUAGCUUACCAGAAAGGGACGGCUAACUACGUGCCAGCAGCCGCGGUAAUACGUAGGUCCCGAGCGUUGUCCGGAUUUAUUGGGCGUAAAGCGAGCGCAGGCGGUUUGAUAAGUCUGAAGUUAAAGGCUGUGGCUCAACCAUAGUUCGCUUUGGAAACUGUCAAACUUGAGUGCAGAAGGGGAGAGUGGAAUUCCAUGUGUAGCGGUGAAAUGCGUAGAUAUAUGGAGGAACACCGGUGGCGAAAGCGGCUCUCUGGUCUGUAACUGACGCUGAGGCUCGAAAGCGUGGGGAGCGAACAGGAUUAGAAACCCGGGUAGUCCCA